rnacentral:rRNA from 1 species
UACGUAGGGACCAAGCGUUGUUCGGAUUUACUGGGCGUAAAGGGCGCGUAGGCGGCAAUUCAAGUCAGUUGUGAAAUCUCCGGGCUUAACUCGGAACGGUCAACUGAUACUGCUUUGCUAGAGUACAGAAGGGGCAAUCGGAAUUCUUGGUGUAGCGGUGAAAUGCGUAGAUAUCAAGAGGAACACCUGAGGUGAAGACGGGUUGCUGGGCUGAUACUGACGCUGAGGCGCGAAAGCUAGGGUAGCAAACGGG